UACGGAGGAUCCGAGCGUUAUCCGGAUUUAUUGGGUUUAAAGGGUGCGUAGGCGGCCCGUUAAGUCAGGGGUGAAAGACGGUAGCUCAACUAUCGCAGUGUUUUUGAUAUUGGUGGGCUUGAAUGGAUUAGAGGUAGGUGGAAUGAGACAAGUAGCGGUGAAAUGCAUAGAUAUGUCUCAGAACACCGAUUGCGAAGGCAGCUUACUAUGGUUCUAUUGACGCUGAGGCACGAAAGCGUGGGGAUCGAACAGG
rnacentral:rRNA from 1 species